rnacentral:rRNA from 1 species
UACGUAGGGUGCAAGCGUUGUCCGGAAUUAUUGGGCGUAAAGAGCUUGUAGGCGGUUUGUCGCGUCUGCUGUGAAAUUUCGGGGCUCAACCCCGAACUUGCAGUGGGUACGGGCAGACUAGAGUGUGGUAGGGGAGACUGGAAUUCCUGGUGUAGCGGUGAAAUGCGCAGAUAUCAGGAGGAACACCGAUGGCGAAGGCGGCACUCUGGGCCGGAACUGACGCUGAGGAGCGAAAGCGUGGGGAGCGAACAGG